rnacentral:snRNA from 1 species
AGACUCUCGGGAAGGCCGAACUGUCUACACCGGCCAUUGCACGGUGCCCGGGCUCGCGUCUGCGAAUUCCGAAUUCCUGGGAAUCUCGACUGCAUAAUUUCUGGUAGUGGGGGACUGCGUUCGCGCUCUCCCCUG